UGCAGAUUUGCCAGCAUCUGGGUC
rnacentral:piRNA from 1 species